CUGGCUCAGAAUGAACGCUGGCGGCAGGCCUAACACAUGCAAGUCGAACGGAGUUAUAUUGUAGCUUGCUAUGGUAUAACUUAGUGGCAGACGGGUGAGUAAUGUAUAGGAAUCUACCUAGUAGUACGGAAUAAUUGUUGGAAACGGCAACUAAUACCGUAUACGCCCUACGGGGGAAAAAUUUAUUGCUAUUAGAUGAGCCUAUAUUAGAUUAGCUAGUUGGUGGAGUAAUAGCCUACCAAGGCAAUGAUCUAUAGCUGAUCUGAGAGGAUGAUCAGCCACACUGGAACUGAGAUACGGUCCAGACUCCUACGGGAGGCAGCAGUGGGGAAUAUUGGACAAUGGGCGAAAGCCUGAUCCAGCUAUGCCGCAUGAGUGAAGAAGGCCUUUGGGUUGUAAAGCUCUUUUAGUGAGGAAGAUAAUGACGGUACUCACAGAAGAAGUCCUGGCUAACUCCGUGCCAGCAGCCGCGGUAAUACGGAGAGGGCUAGCGUUAUUCGGAAUUAUUGGGCGUAAAGGGCGCGUAGGCUGAUUAAUAAGUUAAAAGUGAAAUCCCGAGGCUUAACCUUGGAAUUGCUUUUAAAACUAUUAAUCUAGAGAUUGAAAGAGGAUAGAGGAAUUCCUGAUGUAGAGGUAAAAUUCGUAAAUAUUAGGAGGAACACCAGUGGCGAANGCGUCUAUCUGGUUCAAAUCUGACGCUGAGGCGCGAAGGCGUGGGGAGCAAACAGGAUUAGAUACCCUGGUAGUCCACGCUGUAAACGAUGAAUGUUAAAUAAUGGGAAGUUUACUUUCUGUAUUAUAGCUAACGCGUUAAACAUUCCGCCUGGGGACUANGGUCGCAAGAUUAAAA
rnacentral:rRNA from 1 species